GGAUCCAGACUUUGAUCAUGGCUCACGAUGAACGCUAGCUACAGGCUUAACACAUGCAAGUCGAGGGGAAACGAUAGAGAAAGCUUGCUUUUUCUAGGCGUCGACCGGCGCACGGGUGAGUAACGCGUAUCCAACCUGCCCAUCACUUGGGGAUAACCUUGCGAAAGUAAGACUAAUACCCAAUGACGUCUCUAGAAGACAUCUGAAAGAGAUUAAAGAUUUAUCGGUGAUGGAUGGGGAUGCGUCUGAUUAGCUUGUUGGCGGGGUAACGGCCCACCAAGGCGACGAUCAGUAGGGGUUCUGAGAGGAAGGUCCCCCACAUUGGAACUGAGACACGGUCCAAACUCCUACGGGAGGCAGCAGUGAGGAAUAUUGGUCAAUGGACGAGAGUCUGAACCAGCCAAGUAGCGUGCAGGAUGACGGCCCUAUGGGUUGUAAACUGCUUUUAUAAGGGAAUAAAGUGAGUCUCGUGAGACUUUUUGCAUGUACCUUAUGAAUAAGGACCGGCUAAUUCCGUGCCAGCAGCCGCGGUAAUACGGAAGGUCCGGGCGUUAUCCGGAUUUAUUGGGUUUAAAGGGAGCGUAGGCCGGAGAUUAAGCGUGUUGUGAAAUGUAGACGCUCAACGUCUGCACUGCAGCGCGAACUGGUUUCCUUGAGUACGCACAAAGUGGGCGGAAUUCGUGGUGUAGCGGUGAAAUGCUUAGAUAUCACGAAGAACUCCGAUUGCGAAGGCAGCUCACUGGAGCGCAACUGACGCUGAAGCUCGAAAGUGCGGGUAUCGAACAGGAUUAGAUACCCUGGUAGUCCGCACGGUAAACGAUGGAUGCCCGCUGUUGGUCUGAAUAGGUCAGCGGCCAAGCGAAAGCAUUAAGCAUCCCACCUGGGGAGUACGCCGGCGACGGUGCAACUCAAAUGAAUUGACGG
rnacentral:rRNA from 2 species